rnacentral:rRNA from 1 species
ACUCCUACGGGAGGCAGCAGUGGGGAAUAUUGCGCAAUGGGGGAAACCCUGACGCAGCGACGCCGCGUGGAGGAUGACGGUUUUCGGAUUGUAAACUCCUGUUAAGUGGGAAGAAUGACCAUGGUCUAAUACAUCAUGGGGGUGACGGUACCACUAGAGAAAGCACCGGCUAACUUCGUGCCAGCAGCCGCGGUAAUACGAGGGGUGCAAACGUUAUUCGGAGUUACUGGGCGUAAAGAGCGCGUAGGCGGCUUAUUAAGUUGGCUGUUAAAUUCCUUGGCUUAACUAAGGAUCGGCGGUCAAAACUGGUAGGCUAGAGGGCAAGAGAGAGAGGUGGAAUUCUCGGAGUAGCGGUAAAAUGCGUAGAUCUCGAGAGGAAUAUCGGUUGCGAAGGCGGCCUCUUGGCUUGUGCCUGACGCUGAAGCGCGAAAGCGUGGGGAGCAAACAGGAUUAGAUACCCUGGUAGCUACGAGU